GGCCUUGAGAUGACGGUACUUAACCAGAAAGCCACGGCUAACUACGUGCCAGCAGCCGCGCUAAUACGUAGGUGGCAAGCGUUAUCCGGAAUUAUUGGGCGUAAAGCGCGCGUAGGCGGUAAGAUAAGUCUGAUGUGAAAGCCCCCGGCUCAACCGGGGAGGGUCAUUGGAAACUGUUUUACUUGAGUACAGAAGAGGAGAGUGGAAUUCCAUGUGUAGCGGUGAAAUGCGCAGAGAUAUGGAGGAACACCAGUGGCGAAGGCGGCUCUCUGGUCUGUAACUGACGCUGAGGUGCGAAAGCGUGGGGAUCAAACAGGAUUAGAUACCC
rnacentral:rRNA from 1 species